CGUAGCCGGCCGACUCCGAGACGGGGGACGCCGCCGCUCUUCGCCUCCUCCGCGUCCCGCCGCGUUUUCCUGGCCAGCCCGGAGCGGCCCCGGUGACUCGGAGCUGUGGGUGCUGUGUGCGGUGCCAGCCUGCCGAGCCGCCCCCAGCUCGUUAUUUGCCUUACCGCGCUGCCAGCUCCAGUGCCACGGCUUGGCAUCGCUCCACCUCUGGGUGGGGAGCUGGCAGCAUCCCGCUUCUACCUCCAGCGUGGGACCGUGUGGCUGCUGCAGCGGCUGCUGCAGACCCCGGCAUCGGAGCCGGUGCGGUGUCGUUGUGGACGUGCCCGCUACUGAGGAGCAGCUGAGGUGCGCGCGGAUGCUGAAACACGAAGAUGAUUUAGCAAAAUGCGAUCGAGUCUGGGGGAGAACAUUGAAAAAUUAACUGUUUUACCUCAUUUUGUGCUGGCCCCCACACUAUGAACACAUACUGGUUUUGCUGUCACCUCAGACCAGUGGUGAAUAUGAAGACUGUGGCCACUGAACUGCCUUUCUCUCUAAAAAGCAGCUUUAAAAUAACCAUCCAGAUGGCAGACUAGCAAGCAGUGGUGACCGCCUGCAUUUUGGAAUUUUAACGUCAGCACCAUUGUAAUCUGUAGACAGCUGUGGCUAAAGGUGAAAAUGAAACUUCUCUCUAUACAUGAUAAACCAAAAAAUUAGGAAUCUGCUCUCAGUGUUCUAAAUGGCUGAGAUUUCAGGAGGUAGUACUGUUGCUCCAUCUGAAACACAAGUUUGCCUAAACACAACCCUCUGUAGUAAUAGGGUUCUGGUUUCCGCCCUCCUUCAAAGCGUGGGAAUUCAUCUGGAGUAGGAAGCAAACCCUUCCUAGCUCCUGAGCAGUAAGAGAAGCAGGGGACAGCAGUGAGAAGAGACAUUGUAUUCAUGAAAAUAACAUCAUCUGCCCAAGAAAUGCCUUUCCUUCCUCAUCCUUGUAUUUCUGUGUGGAAGAACAUUCCCCUUACCUCUCAGAGCACCUCGACCUCGCCCCCGAGCGCCAUGGUCCCUUCCUCUGGAGUUUUCAUCUGGAGAGUCAAAAGCAUCAUCUGGCCCAAAAUCUUCAGGGCCAGGAAAGCCAUCUCUGCCCCUGGGUCCCCGGCCCUCGUGUCUCGAGGGUCCUCCUCUUCGGAAGCUACAAGAAAGAACAGGAUACAAAUGUGGUUUUUAGGCACAAUUGAGUCAGCUUCGGUUUCAUUAUCAACCAAUUUCUGAACUGUUUCACUUAAUGCUACAACACAUACAGUUACUAGAACAGGAUUUGUAGGUGGGAAAGCGCUCAUUUCUGCCUUUGAGCACUUUGAUAGUAAGCUUUGUAAUUUUCUUCUCAUAUUUCCUUCCACUGAUUAUGUUGGCUUUUCAUACAAGAAAAAUAUUAUUAAACAUACUGCAUUCAUUUAAUGAAAAGGUGGGAAAAACAACAGAUGAGUGACGAUAGAUACAAGGUGAGAUAAGCCAAGGAAAAGUUUAAGUGAGUUCCCCUUCACUCUGAUGGUCUUACAUCCCCCUUCCCUUUUUUUCCUUUCCAUGAUAAAACAAACUGCAAACA